rnacentral:tRNA from 1 species
GCCGAGCUAGCUCAAAGGUAGAGCAGCUGAUUUGUAAUCAGCAGGUUGCGGGUUCAAGUCCUGUGCUCGGCUCCA